UCUCUUUUCUCUUUCCUCGUUUUUCUGUUUGCGAUUUCUUAUGCCGCGAUCACUACACAAGGGAUCGAGAGUCGAGGGCUUCCUCGCUACGGCAGACGAGUUUGUUGAGGGAGAAUGGUCAGCGGAGGCAAUCGUCUACCUCACCCUUCUUCAGUACCUAAGAGAUAUUGGUCUAACAGGAAUGAAGCUCGGAUACGGUGAAGGUGGCUGUGGAGCUUGCACAGUAAUGAUUUCCUGUUUCGAUGAACGGUCAAGAAAAUCACAGUAUGCAUGCAAUAACAGUUGAAGGAAUUGAAGAUGUGGACGAAGCUUGCACCCCAUCUAGAUCAAUUAGAGGAUUGGAGAUAGUGGACGAAGCUUGCACCCCAUCUAGAUCAAUUAGAGGA